AUUGAACGAUGGCGGCAGGCCUAACACAUGCAAGUCGAGCGAGCGUCGGACGGGUGCGUAAUGCUUGGGAAUCUAGCUUAUGGAGGGGGAUAACUACGGGAAACUGUAGCUAAUACCGCGUACCAUAGGCUGAGCCCACGUGGGAUUAGGUAGUUGGUGAGGUCAAGGCUCACCAAGCCGACGAUCUCUAGCUGGUCUGAGAGGAUGACCAGCCAAACUGGGACUGAGACACGGCCCAGACUCCUACGGGAGGCAGAAGGGGGGAAUAUUGCGCAAUGGGGGCAACCUGACGCAGCCAUGCCGCGUGAAUGAAGAAGGCCUUCGGGUUGGAAAGUUCUUUCGGUGGCGAGGCGUUAACUACAGAAGAAGCACCGGCUAACUCCGUGCCAGCAGCCGCGGUAAUAC
rnacentral:rRNA from 1 species